CCGAGGGGUGGGUCUUACGCUCCUCGGCAGCCAGAUGAUAGGCGUCAGUACAGUACAGGGCGUAGGGUUCCAGUUGACCCCAGAGAGCCAGGCUUCGACGCGCGAUCCAUUAUCGUGCAAGGGUUGGUCGACCGGAACAGAGCCCAUCGAGGCGCACUCGACAGAGAUGUGCCCACGAGCAGUCGAGUACAUGUUUCUGGUCCUGAAUGUUUCAGCAGAGCUAUCAGAGCCGCAGUUAUUCCCCCAAAUUUCAGGUUGGCAACAGGAGUCAGCAAGUUCACUGGUGAGUCUAAGCCUGAAACUUGGCUUGAAGACUACCGAGUGGCAGUUCAGAUCGGUGGUGGGAACGACGAGGUGGCCAUGAAGCAUUUGCCCCUCAUGUUGGAAGGUUCUGCCAGGGCAUGGUUGACUCAAUUGCCUCCUAGCAGCAUUUACACU
rnacentral:rRNA from 1 species